GAGGGUAUAGCUCAGUGGUAGAGUGUGUGCUUAGCAUGCAUGAGGUCCUGGGUUCAAUCCCCAGCAUCUCCA
rfam:Camelus ferus unplaced genomic scaffold scaffold1690, whole genome shotgun sequence.